AUAACACCUGUCCCUUUUUUAGAAUAUUUUAACAUAUAAAGGGUGAGAAAAGUAAAAUAUAUCAUUUCUAAAUUACUAGCACAUAGAAACAGUUUUUUUUAAUCAAAAUAUAUUAUAGUACAGAAUUCAUUUCUUCUAUAAAAAUCCAGUGCUUUUAUAACUUCCGUUAUAACAGUGCCGUGUAUACCAUAUAUGGUUUGUUCCAGGUUCGAUAUUAUGUGUAAUGCCUAAAAGCAGACAGAGGCUUGAAUUAUAAUUUGUUAUUGAUUCGGUGGGUUUGUAAACGUUUCCAAACGUAGAAUUAACGUAGGUUUUUUAGGAAGGAAUAUGAUAAAAUUGAAUAAUUUAUAAUUUAUAAAAAAAGAAUUAUACUCAUUAAUCUUUACGAUCUUUACCAAAAAUAUUAUUGUCUCAUACAGAAUAGAAUUAAAAGUUACAAUGUUACAAAUUUUACAUUAUUUAUUUACUAUAAAGUUUUCCUUGUAUAGGGAAUGAAAAUACUAAAAAUACUAUACAAUAAGAUAAAAAAAAGAUGUAAAAAAUGAGAAAAAAACCUGAUAAAUCAUCAUGCCAGAAUAAUUAGUUUAUUAUUAAUCAAUAAGGAACCGUUGCUGUGCAGAUAUAUUUGAUUCUGAACAUAAGUUUUGUACUCUGGAACUUUCUAGAGAAAGCAAUGAAAGCAUUUUCAACAAACGCUGAAAUCUAAUAAUACAAUUUUAUAACGGAUGUGGCUACAACAAUACAAGUACAUAUAUACAGCAUUUUCAACCUCCAUUCUCAAGCAGUUUUUAUAUAUUUAUCUGUUUGAAACGUCAUCUGUCGGAUCACUUGAGAAGAUGAUCUUAUGCUUAUAUUUCGCCUUCGCCAACUUACUCUCAUCUUUCAUCCAUUUGUGAUUUACCAUUUGCCGCAUUUACAUGAUUGUGUGUUAGGUCACGCUUGCUUUCCAAAAUUAAAUAAACAUGGUAUUUAUUAUUGAAAAUACCGAAUGUGAUAAUCAGUAAAAAUAUAAUUUGUUUUACAAUUCCUAUAAGAUCAAUUAAAAUAAACUUGGACUACUUCUGUUUAAAGAAUAAAGCAUCAGUGAAAUUAAGAACAUGAUGGUAGUAAUGGAAAGUGCUGAAGGCGUAGUCAACUGUCAAUUUAUUCGAGAUGAUUACAAAUAACAUUUGUCAGUUUACACCAGUUACAAAGUAUCAAGAGUUAACUAUGACUGAACUGCAAAGGAAACAAGGAGUUGAAGAUACGUAUCAAAUUUUCUUAAAUUCUAGUCAAAAUUUAUUACUGAAAGAUACUUUUGUAUCUUGUAUACAAUUUACAAACAAGAACAACCAUCCUCAGUAUUAUAAAGCAGUAAAGUUUAAAUUAUAAACUAAAUGACAAUGUAAUUGAA